GGCCGGAUUAGGCGUUCACGCCGCAUCCGGCUGCGGCUGGAAUUGCCUGAUGCGCUACGCUUAUCAGGCC
rnacentral:ncRNA from 1 species